rnacentral:rRNA from 1 species
UACGUAGGCAGCAAGCGUUGUUCGGAAUUACUGGGCGUAAAGAGUGUGUAGGCGGUGCUCUAAGUUCGGGGUGAAAUCUCCCGGCUUAACUGGGAGGGUGCGCCGGAAACUGGAGUGCUCGAGCGUGGGAGAGGAAAGCGGAAUUCCUGGUGUAGCGGUGAAAUGCGUAGAUAUCAGGAGGAACACCUGCGGUGUAGACGGCUUUCUGGACCAUUGCUGACGCUGAGACACGAAAGCGUGGGUAGCAAACAGG